AGUAACGGCGAGUGAAGCGGUAACAGCUCAAAUUUGAAAUCUGGCUCCUGCGGAGUCCGAGUUGUAAUUUGUAGAAGAUGCUUUGGGAGGUAGGACCGGCCUAAGUUCCUUGGAACAGGACAUCAGAGAGGGUGAGAAUCCCGUAUGCGGCCGCGGCCUAUGCCCGUGUAAAGCUCUUUCGACGAGUCGAGUUGUUUGGGAAUGCAGCUCAAAAUGGGUGGUAAAUUUCAUCUAAAGCUAAAUAUUGGCCAGAGACCGAUAGCGCACAAGUAGAGUGAUCGAAAGAUGAAAAGCACUUUGGAAAGAGAGUUAAACAGUACGUGAAAUUGUUGAAAGGGAAGCGCUUGCACCCAGACUUGGGCGUCGUCGAUCAUCCGAGGUUCUCCUCGGUGCACUCGGCGAUGCACAGGCCAGCAUCGGUUUGGGUGGUUGGAGAAAGGCUCUAGGAACGUAGCUCUCUUCGGGGAGUGUUAUAGCCUAGGGCGUAAUGCAGCCCAUCCGGACCGAGGACCGCGCCUUUGGGCUAGGAUGCUGGCGUAAUGGUUGCAAGCGACCCGUCUUGAAACACGGACCAAGGAGUCUAACAUCUAUGCGAGUGUUUGGGCGUUAAACCCAUACGCGGAAUGAAAGUGAACGUAGGUGAGAACCCGUUAGGGUGCAUCAUCGACCGAUCCUGAUGUCUUCGGAUGGAUUUGAGUACGAGCAUAGCUGUUGGGACCCGAAAGAUGGUGAGCUAUGCCGGAAUA
rnacentral:rRNA from 1 species